rnacentral:rRNA from 1 species
AUGGACUUGCCGGGGCUGUUAGAAGGAGACUUUAAUAAAAUUCUAUAUGCCCAUGAGAAAGAUGGUGGUGAUGCAUGCCCGUAACGGUGCAUGCAAGAUUUCAGUGACGCUCUUGCUGAUUGUGGGCUUGAUGAUUUAGCAUACACAGGUGACAAAUUCUCGUGGCGGCGUGGGCAUAUUUGUGAAUGCCUAGACCGUGCUACUCGCAAUAUCACUUGGGCUAAUAUGUUUCCUAUGUUUGGUGUGUCGAACAAGGACUUCGACAAGUCUAAUCAUAGGCCGGUGCUGAUUGACACUAAUUUUCAGCUUGGUGUUCAACCAAGAGGACCAAGUGGGCCUCGUAAAUUUGAGGCACACUGGUUGGCCGAAGAGGACAUUGAAACAAUAGUGCAAGUGGCCUGGGACAAACGCAAGGCGAUGGGGAUGGCAUCGUUUAUAGAAACAACAGCGGACGUACAUCCUGGGCUUCACCGCUGGGACAAGGAGGUCCUUAAGGGGCCAAGAACUAGGCUGCAUGAGCUACAGAAAGAACUUAAUCUAGUCCUACCAGGACCACUGAAUGAUGAGGCAGUGGUAAAACAACAUCAGCUGCACUUUGAAAUUGAGAAACUACUUGAGCAAGAAGAAAUAUACUAUCUCCAAUGA